GUCUACGGCCAUACCACCCUGAACACGCCCCAUCUCGUCUGAUCUCGGAAGCUAAGCAGGGUCGGGCCUGGUUAGUACUUGGAUGGGAGAAAAUCAUCCUCUUAACA
rnacentral:rRNA from 1 species